rnacentral:rRNA from 1 species
UUCCCGUAGGGGUGAACUCUGCUGGAGGGAUCAUUACUGAGUUACCGCUCUAUAACCCUUUGUGAACAUACCUAACUGUUGCUUCGGCGGACGGCUCCCGGGCCCCCGGCCCCGCUCUGCGGGGUGUCCGCCGGAGGAUAACCAAACUCUGAUUUAACGACGUUUCUUCUGAGUGGCACAAGCAAAUAAUCAAAACUUUUAACAACGGAUCUCUUGGUUCUGGCAUCGAUGAAGAACGCAGCGAAAUGCGAUAAGUAAUGUGAAUUGCAGAAUUCAGUGAAUCAUCGAAUCUUUGAACGCACAUUGCGCCCGCCAGCAUUCUGGCGGGCAUGCCUGUUCGAGCGUCAUUUCAACCCUCAAGCACUGCUUGGCGUUGGGGCUCUACGGUUGACGUAGGCCCUCAAAGGUAGUGGCGGACCCUCUCGGAGCCUCCUUUGCGUAGUAACUUUUGUCUCGCACUGGGAUUCGGAGGGACUCUAGCCGUUAAACCCCCAAUUUUCCAAAGGUUGACCUCGGAUCAGGUAGCAUCUGCA